GUGGGGGCCAGGGCGAGGGGCGGCGCCACCACGGUCCGCAUCGUCGCAGACGGGACGGGGCGCCCGGCUCCCCAGCCGCGCUUGCUCGUCCACGAAAUGGGCGGAAAUGAAGUCUCCCCACCGGGGUGCGCCCGGGGGCGUUGCUUUCUUUCCUUCUUCCGCCUCCUUCCCUAGACCCCCGGCCAUCCCCGGCUCCUGGGGGACCCCACGGCACCUCUCACAGACCCCGCGGCCUAGAGGCGUGGCCACACCACGUGGGCAGACUGUCACUCACACACACACACACACACACACACCCAGCGCCCCAGGGACGUGUCCGCCUCCUGGACCCCCAACGCGUCCCCCCAGGCCCCGGGGACUGACAGCGCCCCACGGAGGCCCUCGAAGGCUGAGGCUCUGUGUCCCCCUAGACGAGGCCGCGGUCCAGCCCGCCGCUCCUGAGCUCGUCCCUUACCGGCUCUUCCUCUCGACCCCUCCCGGCCGUGCCCGACGGAGGGGCCCACCUCUCACUGCCUCUUUGUGAUCCAAGCGGCGUUUCUGGCCAUUUGGGUUUGAUGCGUCUUUUCCCAAGUUUUCUUAACUUUUUUGAAUGACCUUUCCAUCAGGACUCAAGUCUGAGACAAAGGAACAAGCUACAUAAAACUUCAGGCCGUCUCUUCUUCCCUGGAGUUGGCCAUAUCGCCUGCGUUUCUGUCCUUCAGUGAGAAGGGCUCUGUGAGCCACACAGAGCAGUUGAGCGUGUCUCAUCUCAUGCAAUCCUCACAACCACCCCGCCAGGCGCGCGCGAGGCUGGCAGUUCGUGGGUGAGGCUGCCGGACUCUCAGAGGGGCCCAGCCAGGGCUGGUUGGAACAAGCUCUGGCUUGUGACCCGGGUCCUCGCCUCCCACCGCCUCAGCUGCCCCCCUCGGCUGCUGGCCUCUUCCCUGGGGGCAUUUGCUGUGUCUGAAAGCAGGUGUGGGCAGCAUCAACGUUGUGUAAGGCUGCUAACCCGGCCUACAAGCCCCAUGCUGGCUUUCUGCCCUUGAGCUCUUCAUCCCUCAGCCCCUUUCCUUGGGCAGAAAUCGCUCCGUGUCCGGUGGAUCAGCUCAUUCACGAUUUGGCCUCCAUGUUCCCUCUGUUCUGGAAUUGCUCCGGCCCCACCUAGGGUGUGAUUCCAGAACCAGCAGCAGCGCCAGCGCGGGGGGAACCUGUUGGAAAUGCAAAUUACCAUGCCCACCCCACUGCUGAGUGGGACUCUCUGGCGGGCGGGGCUCAGCAAUCUCUGCUUCAACAUGCCUUCCAGAACCUACUGCAAAUUCUUUUCUAAAAUCAAAUCAGCGUCUGAAUGAAGAGACAACACACAAGCCUGGAGUAGUUGACAUGCCUUGUCCUUCGGGGACAACCAUUUUCCCUAUAAACCUAGUCUUGUCAUUAGUCAUUGGACCUUGUGAAUAAUUCGUGUGACCCCUGUGGCCUUUAUCUGAUGGUAGAUGCGGCUAGGUUGGGAGCGAGACUGAGAAUUCAUGUCCACAGCUUGUAAAGCAACAGCACCAUGUAGUGGCUAAGGACCCGGGUUCAAAUCCAGGCUCCUCGUACUAGCUGCGUGAUUUACUUCGCCUCUCUGUGCAUCAGUGUCCUCACCUGUCAAGUGGGGAGAGCAAUCAACCUCCCUCGCAGGGGUCCCGUGAGUAUUUAGAGAUAAAAGAUUUAAAGUGUGUGGUUCAGGGCUGAGCACAAUGCAAAUUCUGACGAUGAUCAUUUUUAUUAUUAUUUCUCUCCGGCGGCAGUCUGGCACCACUGGAGAAACUGCACUAUUAGGACUUUUACUGGGUUCAAAGCCGGAGCCACUAGGAGCCACAAAAGCAUGGUGACUGGGACAUUUGGCCCAUACAACCCACCCCCAGACCUCACUGGUUGGCGGAGGCUGUCCACCUCUGGCUGUGCCUGGUCACCCAGUCCUGCCCCACUCUGCCCAUGGGACACCAUGUUACCACCUCCACCAAGACGGAUGCCAAAUGGCGUUGGAUGGAAAAACCAAGUUCUUGGCUUAGAUUCCCUUGUCUGGUCAAGUCACCACCCUCUUCCAAUGAAUUCAGCAGCGCACCCUGCCCAGAAAAUGGAAACAACCCGGAGACUUGGAGGAGUGUCAAGUUCUUGGCUUUUCAGAUUAGAAUUGAUUCUUGAACCUCAUCACAGAGACGACUGUCUUGAAAGCGAGUUCUGGGUGUUUGGAAAUCGAGAGAUUAAGCUCUGAGGGGAUCCAGUCAGAAGUGGGUGCCACAACAAUCAAUGGGGAAGAGAGGAGAUGGAGAGUCAGCCCGCCACAGCCCCAGUGAAGACUGCCCCGGCUGGAGAAGAAGGGAGCUCAGGUGCUGGGGACGCUCUUAGAAGGGGACUGAUGUCCCCUGAGAAGGGACAAUAAGGACACAAGACAAGUUUGGGGACGAGACUCAGAACUACUCUCAAGGGGAGUGGGGGAGUUGACAACAGAGCACUAGGAUGGGUCUUUGGAAUCAGAGCAGAGGGUUCCAGCUGCUUCCUGGCUGGAGCUCUGGGAGGGCAGCACAACGUACAGACAGAAUCCAUACCACUGCAGACUGGGGAAAUAGAGUCGAGAUGUUUCCUGGGGGCAGGGGAAGAAAGGGCUGGUGACAUUCCUGAGUCUCUCACAGCCCAGGGAGGUUCUAGAGGGUGGCAACCUUCCUGGUGCCCUGAGAAGGCGUGGGCAUUGGCUGAAGGAGAGAGCCAUAGCUCAAAGGGCAUCCUGAUGCAGGCAUAGCCACAGAUGUCACAGUGAACCAUACAAGCCUGAGGCCAUAUGGCACUGUGGCCACCUGUGAACACCAAUAAGGGACAGUUCUGGCCAGUGGAUCUCAUUAGGAAUGGAUGUCAACAAGGACAUAUAUGAGAGGAAGACUUUCUAUUUCCGCAAACCCUAGCACAAGAGGGGCAGAUGCUUCUAGAUAUCACAACCUCACAUGUAUCACUUAUUUCCUGCCCCUAAAAUGUUGCAUAACAAACAACCACAAGUCUCGAUGGUGUACAGGUCAUGAGUCCAUGGUGUUCAGCUCACCUGGAACGGGCUCUCUCAUGUACCCAAAGAAGCUGAUCUGCUGAUCUUGGCGGGGGUCUCUCAUGUUCCUGGGACUGCUGGCUGCUACCUGAUCUAGGAGGGUUUGGAUCACACCUGGGGUGAGCGGCUCUGCUCCACAUGUCUCUCAUCCUUCUCCCGGGUCCUUAGGCUAGUGUGGGCAUUUCCUUCUCUUAGCAAAGGCAGAGGGAAAGAUGAGGUAAGUCUAAUCAUGCAAGUGCCUUUCCAGCCUCUAAUUGCUUCUCAUUUGCUAAUAUCCCAUUGGUCAAAGCGAGUCACAUGGUCAAGGCCAGAGUCACGGGGGCAGGCACUAGGGAGUUAGGUGGCAAAGUUAACAGAUACACGGAGGACGAAGAAUUGGGCCACACUUGGAAUCUGCCGCACCAUGCAAACCACCUCCUGCCCAAGAGCCCUAGAAAUGAGACACCAUCAAGGGAAAGGGGAGACAAUCCCAAUUUUAACUGAUCUUAAGCACAAAAUGGCUGCUAGAUCAUGAAAUUGUCCGAGUUCACCUGCAAUUUACUAGAUUACGUUUGCUGCCAUUAAACAGAAAUGGAGACCAGGGUAAAAAUUAAGUUUAAUUGUAGAAAGAUAAAGUUACAAUUUUUGCUCAUGUGAUUUGUGACUGUAAUUUGUUUCCACUACCUCCAUUAAGCCAAAGAUUCAAAAUUGCCCAAACCAUUGAUAAGUCAUGCUUAAAGACUAUAGAAGCCACUUUUCUGAAGACUUCCAACCAAACCAGGCAGUGACAUCCCAAGAUAACACAGUUUUACUUCAAAAAAGCAAAUAGAGAGGAGGCCAAGACCUGACAGACUGAGGUGAUAACAAGGAAAAAGAAAAGCUGUCGAACCACACCACUCAUCUGUCAGUAGCCAGGCUGUGGCAGCGGUCAUCCUUCUGGGACCUCCUAGGCUCUCUGGGGGCAGGACUCUGGCUGUAUGGUGAUAGAAGAUCGCUAUGAUGAAGGUCAACCUUGUGGAUGAUACUUUUUUGCUGGGCCAAUUACUUUGCAUAAAGCCGGAAAAUGAUUCAUCUGUGUAGUCCAGCUUAGCAGGUCCUCAGCAGAGAACACCUUUAGAAAGCGACGGAGAGGGUGAAAUCGAUUUUCCUAUGAGGGUAUACAUUUCUGCGUCCUCACCAUAUGCAGUUGGAUGAGUUAUAAGCACACAUGCCCAUUACUUCUAUUCAGUUUGACACACUUAGAAUAAAUGGCCAGGCUUUAGAGCUGCUUCUGUUUUAUCUUUGUAGUUCUGGGCCCAAGAAGGCAAACUCUUUCAGUUUUAGUUCCUGUGUCUUCAAGGCUGUACCCUUGAGUUUUGGCAGAAAGUCCUUAAGGAUUCCGGGCUGCUGUGCCCCUGGGGCUUCGAACUUCCAGAACUUUCUCCCAUUCCAUUCUCUUUUUUUCUGGGCUCACGGAUCCUCAUCUCCUUUGAAAUCCCUGUGGAUAAGAUGGUGAAACACAGGCUGGAAGCCACUGAGAUCUGAGAGCUGAGCAACUAGUUGAACAACUGUGCCUAAAGGUGUCCCAGAAGCAGAUGGGUGUUAACUGAAUGGGGUCUGCAAGGGAGGCCCUGGCUGCCCUUGGCACUUCCUUGUUCUAUAUUUGUGUCUGCAACAGCUGAAUUCGGACAUGACCUGGGUAUAGAAAACAUAUUAGCCUAAUAGUUAAGAAUAUGGGCUGGCACCAAACCGCUGGGUUGAAGUCCGGCACUGCCACACACUAGCUAGUUGUCCUGGAGCAAGUUAUUUAACUUCCCUAUGCCUCAGUUUACUCAUCUAUAUAAUGGGAAUCCUAAUAGUUUCCACUUUAGAAUUGUUGCGAGGAUUGAGAGUUAAGCACCUAGAAUUUACUGUUCCUGUGUUGGUCGUUGUUACAACAGUUGUUGGGUGUAGUUGUAAUAACAGGGAGUUGCAACACUAGCAGGUGGGAGGGGGAGUAAAUGCACCAGCUGACAAAAUGGGAUCCAGAAUAUCUCACUAAGUCACGGUGAUGGGCAAAUUUAACAAUAAAGCUGACUGCUGUGCCCCCAACAGCACAGGAUGAGAAAAACAUGGUUUUGCAGUAGUACAGGAGAAAAUGAUGUGAGGGAUCGUUCCAUAGUAAAUUUAAUAGGAAUCAACUCAAGUGGUGGGUUACCAUACAAAAAAAACUUACAUAAUCUCCCCCCGUGUCCCUUAGAUGUGGGUGAUUGGAAGGGGGAGGGCACCGGCCUUAGCCUGGACAGGCAGACCACACCUGGACAAAUUUGGGGUGCCCACUGUGAAGGGAGUCUAGACAGGCAGGAAUGCGUGCAGAGGAGAGUGAGCUGAUCCUGCAGGGGCUGGAAGGCAUGUGACUCAGUAAGCGAUGCCACCUGUGGUAACAAACAAGUCCCUAACCACAGAGACGGAACACAGUCGUUAAUUACUUGCUCACCUAACCGAUGUUCUGACGUAGGGGUGAGCCAUCCUCCAGCAGUGGGCCAGGGCACCUCCCUUUGUGCUGAAAGAGUGUGGAGACUAUAAGUGGAAGGCGUGUAUGGGUCAGGUCUGGAAAUGGCCACACGCAUUCACUCACAUUCUAGAGCCCCUGUGGUCACACCUGCAGGAGAUGCUAGGUAGUGCAGUCUGGCCAUGAGGCCAGCAGAAGAGACGCACUUGGCGAUCAGCCACUGGCAUCUGCCACUCUACGAAUUGUGAAGAAGGUCCAAGAAGCAGGACGCUGAGCCCGAGAAGAGUGGGAGGGCUUAAGAUGUGUCUCCAAACAUUGGAAAGGUCUCUUUGUAAAAGAGAGGAUCAUCUUUGUUGGUGUCACUUCAGAGGGCAGAAGCAGAACCUGUGGAUGGAGAGAUCUAGGGAGGCUGGUGGGGUGAACGACCAUCCUAGUUUGCCUGGACUGUCUGGUUUUAGCAAUGAAAGCCUACCUCCUGGGAAACCCAUCCGAUGACAUCAGAUGACGUUGGUCAUCCCAGCGUGGCCAACUUUGGGUUGACACAGGUGUGUCUAUCCUAGGAGCUAUCCCGGGCAACACUCCUUCCCCCGUCCCCCCACUCAUUUAGAUAUGAGUGACAGUGUUGUUGGCCGUCAGUUCAAUGUUAAUGAGCCAACAAUAGAUGUUAAAUAAGGUGUCUUUAAAGAGAAGUACAUUGAUUGACUGAUGAAAAUGUUGCAGCCAGAGGUUUGCAGGAACCUAACCCAGUGUUUCCCCUAGGAGCGAUGGUGCAGUAUUCGCUAAUUCCAUUUCAUGGUGACUUUAUAGAACAUAGCUACUGAAGAUAACAAGAAUUGACUUUAUAUCCAUACAAUGGAAUAUUUUCGGCCAUAAAAAGAAAAGAAGUCCUGAUGCAUGCCACAACAUGGAUGAACCUUGGAAACAUUUUGCUGAGUGAAGUCAGUCACAAAAGACCAUGUUUUGUGAUUCAAUUUUAUGAAAUGUUCACAAUAGGGAAAUCUCUAGAGACAGAAAGAUUAGUGGUUGCUUGGGGCUGGCCGAUGGAGGGGAGAGGGAGAGUUAGAGGGGAACAAUAGCCCCGGGGUACAGGGUUUCUUUUUGGGUGAUAAAAAUUGUCUGAAAUUGACUUUGUGAUGGUUGCACAUAUCUAUGGCUAUACAAAAACACUGAAUUGUAUACUUUAAAUGGGUGAAUUGUAUGGUAUGUGAAUUAUAUCUCAAUAAAGC
ensembl:lncRNA